rnacentral:rRNA from 1 species
GACGAACGCUGGCGGCGUGCUUAACACAUGCAAGUCGAACGGAAAGGCCCUGCUUUUGUGGGGUUCUCGAGUGGCGAACGGGUGAGUAACACGUGAGUAACCUGCCCUUGACUUUGGGAUAACUUCAGGAAACUGGGGCUAAUACCGGAUAGGAGCUCCUGCUGCAUGGUGGGGGUUGGAAAGUUUCGGCGGUUGGGGAUGGACUCGCGGCUUAUCAGCUUGUUGGUGGGGUAGUGGCUUACCAAGGCUUUGACGGGUAGCCGGCCUGAGAGGGUGACCGGCCACAUUGGGACUGAGAUACGGCCCAGACUCCUACGGGAGGCAGCAGUGGGGAAUAUUGCACAAUGGGCGGAAGCCUGAUGCAGCAACGCCGCGUGCGGGAUGACGGCCUUCGGGUUGUAAACCGCUUUCGCCUGUGACGAAGCGUGAGUGACGGUAAUGGGUAAAAAAGCACCGGCUAACUACGUG